rnacentral:rRNA from 1 species
UUGUACNGUUAGUGGCGAAAGGGUUAGUAACGGGUAGGUAACGUACCCUGUGCUUUGGGAUAGCGUCAGUUGCUUCGGCAACUUUCCGAAAGGGGCGGUAAUACCAAAUAAUAUCAUUUGUCGAUAGGCGAAUGAUCAAAGAUUUAUCGGCACGGGANCGGCCUGCCUCCUAUCAGCUUGUUGGUGAGGUAAAGGCUCACCAAGGCAACGACGGGUAGCGGGACUNNCANGUUGGCCCNCAACAUCGGGACUGANACACUGCCCGGACCUCCACGGAGGGCUGCANUANCGGAUAUUGNGCAAUGGCNAAANCCUNACCA